GACGAACGCUGGCGGCGUGCUUAACACAUGCAAGUCGAACGGUGAGGCCCCUUCGGGGGUACACGAGUGGCGAACGGGUGAGUAACACGUGAGCAACCUGCCCUUGACACCGGAAUAACAGUUGGAAACAGCUGCUAAUGCCGGAUACGACCUUCGGUGACAUCACCGAAGGUGGAAAGUGCUUAGCGGUCAAGGAUGGGCUCGCGGCCUAUCAGCUAGUUGGUGAGGUAACGGCUCACCAAGGCUUCGACGGGUAGCCGGCCUGAGAGGGCGACCGGCCACACUGGGACUGAGAUACGGCCCAGACUCCUACGGGAGGCAGCAGUGGGAAUAUUGCGCAAUGGGCGAAAGCCUGACGCAGCAACGCCGCGUGCGGGACGACGGCCUUCGGGUUGUAAACCGCUUUCAGCAGGGACGAAACUGACGGUACCUGCAGAAGAAGCACCGGCUAACUACGUGCCAGCAGCCGCGGUGAUACGUAGGGUGCAAGCGUUAAUCGGAAUUACUGGGCGUAAAGCGUGCGCAGGCGGUUAUGUAAGACAGAGGUGAAAUCCCCGGGCUCAACCUGGGAACUGCCUUUGUGACUGCAUAGCUAGAGUACGGUAGAGGGGGAUGGAAUUCCGCGUGUAGCAGUGAAAUGCGUAGAUAUGCGGAGGAACACCGAUGGCGAAAGCAAUCCCCUGGACCUGUACUGACGCUCAUGCACGAAAGCGUGGGGAGCAAACAGGAUUAGAUACCCUGGUAGUCCACGCCCUAAACGAUGUCAACUGGGUUGUUGGGAAUUAACUUUCUCAGUAACGAAGCUAACGCGUGAAGUUGACCGCCUGGGGAGUACGGCCGCAAGGUGAA
rnacentral:rRNA from 1 species